UUCAUCCUCGUGAGUAAUAGGUUCAUUUCUGCUGUACCACAAUGGGAACUCCUAUAUCAAAUAUUUGUAAAGGGAAGUAUUUUAACUUAUGGCAUUGCUAAGUUAGUAUCUAUUCCAAUUAUCUGUGUUCCUUGGAUUCUAAGGAUUAAUAAGCAAUCCUCUAAGAGAGAAAAGGGGAAAAAAAUCAGGAUGCCAAAAAUUCAACUUCAUUUUCAGUUGCCUUCUUGUAGAGGAGAAUCUACAUCUCAACAGUUUGAAUU
rnacentral:lncRNA from 1 species